AUGAAUUUAAAUUUAAAUUGCUGUAGUAUUUUGACUAUACAAAGGUAUUGAAAUAAGACUUUAAUUGAGUGCUAAGAGAAUGGAAUUACAGGAAAAAUCUUUUUUAAACUUAACAAUUGAAGUUAUUUUUACUUGUGAAGAAACAGUAAUAAAAAUUAAGGACAAGAAGACCCUAAGAAUUUUUAGAAACAUAUUUCAAUAAAGAAGAUAUGUUUCUUUAAUUGGGGCGAUUAAUUAAUAUUAAAAACUUUUUUUGAAAAAACAUGAACCGUUUAAUAGCGGUAAAUUGGAAAAAAUACUCUAGGGAUAACAGCGUAAUAAUUUUCGAUAGUUCAUAUUGACAAAAUAGUUUGCGACCUCGAUGUUGGAUUAGGAUAUUUUUUUGAUGAAGAAGUUAAAAAAAAAAGUUUGUUCAACUUUUAAUUUCCUACAUGAUCUGAG
rnacentral:rRNA from 1 species